GGGCAGACUAGACUGAUGUAUUAGCCCUGCAUUGUAACCACAAAUGGGCUUUAUGGUGGAGUUGAAGUCUUCGAAGAGGCAUAAGUUAUGAUUAUUAGUCUUGUCCUCUACGUUGAAGCUUUGUCCUUUGGGACUGUUUUAAUAAAGAAUCUGGUCAGGGUGGGAACACAGCAGCCAUAAUUUACUAAAAUGGUGCUCAGAGGGUUGCGAAGCUGAGGAAAGGAUAAGAUCAACUAAUAGUUAUGAUUUAUGUCCAUUCUUAGGCAUGUCUGCCC
rnacentral:SRP_RNA from 1 species